rnacentral:tRNA from 1 species
UCCCUGGUAGUAUAUCGGUUAGUACACGCGCCUGUCAUUCUGAACGACCGCGCGAAAGCGGGGUUCGACUCCCCGCCAGGGAG